AGUGAACGCUGGCGGCAGGCCUAACACAUGCAAGUCGAACGAGUGGCGGACGGGUGAGGAAUACAUCAGAAUCUACUCUGUCGUGGGGGAUCAAGUAGGGAAACUUACGCUAAUACAGCAUCCGAUUGAAUGAGCCGAUGUCGGAUUAGCGAGUUGGGGGGGAAAGGGCCCACCAAGGCGACGAGCCGUAGCUGGUCUGAGAGGAUGAUCAGCCACACUGGAACUGAGACACGGUCCAGACUCCUACGGGAGGCAGCAGUGGGGAAUAUUGGACAAUGGGCGCAAGCCUGAUCCAGCCAUGCCGCGUGGGUGAAGAAGGCCUUCGGGUUGUAAAGCCCUUUUGUUGGGAAAGCGGUACCCAAAGAAUAAGCACCGGCUAACUUCGUGCCAGCAGCCGCGGUAAUAC
rnacentral:rRNA from 1 species